rnacentral:rRNA from 1 species
CACGUAGGGCGCAAGCGUUGUCCGGAAUUAUUGGGCGUAAAGAGCUCGUAGGCGGUGUGUCGCGUCGGCCGUGAAAACCUGCAGCUUAACUGUGGGCUUGCGGUCGAUACGGGCAUCACUGGAGUUCGGCAGGGGAGACUGGAAUUCCUGGUGUAGCGGUGAAAUGCGCAGAUAUCAGGAGGAACACCGGUGGCGAAGGCGGGUCUCUGGGCCGUUACUGACGCUGAGGAGCGAAAGCGUGGGGAGCGAACAGG